UACCCUCUAGGAAAUGAGCAGAGACACCUUGUUGGGAGUGGUGUUCUUAUAUCAGUCAGGGGCAGAACAGAUGCUGGUCCUUUAUUCAUCUUAGCUUGAUGCCUGGCUUGGUAGCCAAAGCUGUUCCAUGCCUAGGACAUAUAA